CGCUCAGGCACAGGUCACUUCAUCUUUUGCUGUAUAAAAAAGCGCACAAAAAGCGGCCCGGCCACAGCUUCCGAAGUGGAAACUCCUGUUAAAUCAUGGCUCCAUAAUGCAAGAGACUGGGAUGGUGGAAGGAGCAGAAGAACCAGAAGACUGGAGAUCAGGCAAAGAUCUACUGGUACCCGAGAGGGAUUGAUCACUCAUCUCCAUCCACAAUGGAGUUUUAACAUCACAGGAAAAUUUUACUUUGUAAAAUAUAUUAAAACAGUUCAGGGCUUGACAUUAAGCCUUUUCCUGUGACGAGUAAAUCGGUCAUUCACAAACUUUGUUGUAAAUACAAUUUAUUCUGCAGCAUCAGUGUUAAGGCCGGCUGUGACAUGUAUAAAUCUGCAUAUUUAUGAUAUUUUUACCUUUAUAAAGGGCAUUUUCCCCAUUAUUAAAUAAAUGCUUCAUCUUUCAUUUUAAAUUCUUAAAUCUGAUCAAUAAAUUAAAUAAUUGUAA